rnacentral:lncRNA from 1 species
UAAGAUGUGACUUGCUCCUCCUUACCUUUUACCUUCCACCAUGGUUGUGAAGCCUCUCCAGCCACGAGUAACUCCUAGUCAACACGAAGACAAGGAUGAAGGCCUUUAUGCUGAUUCACUUCCACUGAAUGAAAAGUUCUACACUGGAAAAAGUGGGAUCAAGGUGGACAACCAGCUUCCCCAGCAUCUUGGACUCCCUAGCAGAAACUUUUCCCUGCCUCAACCCACAGGAAUCAUUGCUAGUGCCUGAAGACAGAAAUAUCUCUGGGGACAUUCCGAGACAAAGUGGGGAGGCAGCACUAUCACACCCAGUCCCAAAAACUUUGCUCUGUAACUUGGCCAAAGGAGAAGUGAGAUCAGAGUGUCCAUGUAACAGCAGAAUGAUGCAGGAAGGUUGUUCUACAGGCCCUUCGGCAGGAAUGCCUAGCUGGCCUUCCCACACUACCAGGAUAUUACCUUUGGGACCUCUGCCAUUCAAGAUGGGCACAGUUUGAUAUGUUACUAGCUCCUAGGCAAACGUGAGCUUAAAGCAGCAUCUAGGGCCUAAAAGGAGGCAUCAACCUUGUAGGAAAAGAAAGAAAAGCAACAGGUAAAUUACAAAGAAUAUGUAAGUAAACAUACCCAAUAAAAACCAAAACAAGCCAGACAAAGAAGACUGGAAUAAAUAACUCAUCCUUUAAUGCAAAGACAUAGACAUACAUCCACAAGAAACUACAGCAAACAGGGACCUCCUUAAAUGGACAAAGAAAGAAACCAGUGGCUGACCUUAAAGAGACAACAACAUGUGAAGAGACAAUCAACAAAACAAAGUGAAGAGACAACCCACAGAAUGGGAGAACAUCUUUGCAAACUAUCAGUCUGACAGAAUUAAUAAGCAAAAUAUAUAAGGAACUCAAACAAUUCAAUACCAAAAAAAGCAAAUAAUCUGAUCUUUUUAAUUGGCAAAAUAUCUGAAUAGAUAUUUUUCAAAAAGGACAUGCAAAUGACUGAGAAGUCAAUGAAAAGUGUUCAACAUCAC